GCCCGACUUUUAGGCAGUCCCUUAUCUAGUACGACUUUUUUGCCAUAUUGAGCCCUUAGUAUUCUCAUUUACAUUAUUAUAACCAAAUGCCAAGUGUAAAAAGAAUGUGAUCUAUUAUUUGAGUAUGUGCAUCUGCCAAUGUUGUUGGCAGUUUUGGUACUAUUGUAGUAGGUGUUAAUUCUGCAGCUUGUAAAUAUGUUAGUAUUUUUAGUGUAGAUAAAGUAACUUGUCUUUUCUAUUUCAGCUUGUUGAUUCAACAGAGGGUUGUGUCAUUUCCUGGUUUCUAUCUAUCAUUAGUUGUGUCCUUAUCAGUAUCUGCUACUGAUAACUUUGUACUGGGUCAAAGGUCAAUGGUCCAGUCUAUUUUACUUCCAAGGGUGUUUUGUUCUAUUGUUUGCUCGUCAUUAGGGUUACCUGUUGUGAGCCAAUUAGUAUACCUUUCAAUUCAAAUCCCUUUCUCACCUGCCAUUGCUAAUCUUAUGCUGCACACACCCACCUGCACUGCACAGCAAUGGAUUGAGGAUCAAGUUAUCAAGUUUCAUGUGACUGUCGAAUGAGACGACUGGCAGAAGGCAUGUUACACUCUCGUGUCACACACAGGGAGUGUCUUCUAUAUGCCUUGCUGAAUAAACUGAAUUUUCUCACAACCCCGUGGACUGUAAUCUCUUGCGACUAAGGAUUACACAUAAGGUCUACAACACUAUUUCCACAUGUUUACAUUUGUGCCAGAAAUUGCUUCCAUU